rnacentral:rRNA from 1 species
AAAGGAAUAGACGGGGACCCGCACAAGUAGCGGAGCAUGUGGUUUAAUUCGAAGCAACGCGAAGAACCUUACCUAAGCUUGACAUCUCUCAGAUCGGUAGUUAAUCCUACCUUCCCUUCGGGGCUGAGAUGACAGGUGGUGCAUGGUUGUCGUCAGCUCGUGUCGUGAGAUGUUGGGUUAAGUCCCGCAACGAGCGCAACCCUUGUCUUUAGUUGCCAGCAUUAAGUUGGGCACUCUAGAGAGACUGCCAGGGAUAACCUGGAGGAAGGUGGGGAUGACGUCAAAUCAUCAUGCCCCUUAUGCUUAGGGCUACACACGUGCUACAAUGGGUGGUACAGAGGGUUGCCAAGCCGCAAGGUGGAGCUAAUCCCUUAAAGCCAUUCUCAGUUCGGAUUGUAGGCUGAAACUCGCCUACAUGAAGCUGGAGUUACUAGUAAUCGCAGAUCAGAAUGCUGCGGUGAAUGCGUUCCCGGGUCUUGUACACACCGCCCGU